GUAGGUGGCAAGCGUUGUCCGGAAUUAUUGGGCGUAAAGCGCGCGCAGGUGGUUCUUUAAGUCUGAUGUGAAAGCCCCCGGCUCAACCGGGGAGGGUCAUUGGAAACUGGGGAACUUGAGUGCAGGAGAGGAAAGUGGAAUUCCACGUGUAGCGGUGAAAUGCGUAGAUAUGUGGAGGAACACCAGUGGCGAAGGCGACUUUCUGGCCUGUAACUGACACUGAGGCGCGAAAGCGUGGGGAGCAAACAGGGAUUAGAUACCCUGGUAGUCCGCGCCGUAAACGAUGAGUGCUAAGUGUUGGGGGGGUUUCCCGCCCCUCAGUGCUGCAGCUAACGCAUUAAGCACUCCGCCUGGGGAUACGGUCGCAAGACUG
rnacentral:rRNA from 1 species